UACGAAGGGGGCUAGCGUUGUUCGGAGUUACUGGGCGUAAAGGGCGCGUAGGCGGCGCACCAAGUCAGGCGUGAAAGCCCUGGGCUCAACCCGGGAAUUGCGCUUGAGACUGGUGUGCUCGAGUACGGGAGAGGAUGGUGGAAUUCCCAGUGUAGAGGUGAAAUUCGUAGAUAUUGGGAGGAACACCUGUGGCGAAAGCGGCUCACUGGACCAUAACUGACGCUGAUGCACGAAAGCUAGGGGAGCAAACAGG
rnacentral:rRNA from 1 species